rnacentral:rRNA from 1 species
UUCGCAAUGCCCGAAAGGGUGACGAAGCGACGCCGCGUGCGGGAAGAAGGCCUUCGGGUUGUAAACCGCUGUCGGGAGUUAAGAAAUGUAAGGAUGUUAAUAGCAUCUUUGCUUGACUAAGGCUCCGGAGGAAGCCACGGCUAACUCUGUGCCAGCAGCCGCGGUAAUACAGAGGCGGCAAGCGUUGUUCGGAAUUAUUGGGCGUAAAGAGCACGUAGGCGGCUAUGUAAGUCGGUUGUGAAAGCCUUCCGCUCAACGGGAGAACAGCAUCCGAUACUGCAUGGCUUGAGUGCGGGAGGGGAGAGUGGAACUUCUGGUGGAGCGGUGAAAUGCGUAGAUAUCAGAAGGAACGCCGGCGGCGAAAGCGGCUCUCUGGCCCAUAACUGACGCUGAGUGUGCGAAAGCUAGGGGAGCAAACGGGAUUAAAUACCCCGGUAGUCCUAGCCGUAAACGAUGGGCACUAAGUAGAGGGGUUUU